GGGCCCGCACAAGCGGUGGAGUAUGUGGUUUAAUUCGAUGCAACGCGAAGAACCUUACCAGGGUUUGACAUCCAGAGAACUUUUCAGAGAUGAAUUGGUGCCUUCGGGAACUCUGAGACAGGUGCUGCAUGGCUGUCGUCAGCUCGUGUUGUGAAAUGUUGGGUUAAGUCCCGCAACGAGCGCAACCCUUAUCCUUGUUUGCCAGCACUUCGGGUGGGAACUCCAGGGAGACUGCCGGUGAUAAACCGGAGGAAGGUGGGGACGACGUCAAGUCAUCAUGGCCCUUACGAGUAGGGCUACACACGUGCUACAAUGGCGCAUACAGAGGGCGGCCAACUAGCGAUAGUGAGCGAAUCCCAGAAAGUACGUCGUAGUCCGGAUUGGAGUCUGCAACUCGACUCCAUGAAGUCGGAAUCGCUAGUAAUCG
rnacentral:rRNA from 1 species